rnacentral:rRNA from 1 species
AGUGAACGCUGGCGGCAUGCCUAACACAUGCAAGUCGAACGGCAACAGGGUAAGGGCUUGCUACUACUGGCGGCGGGUGGCGUAAGAGAGAGGAAUGUAUCCGAAUCUACUGUUUCACGGGGGAUAACGUUGGGUAAUUUCCCAUACUACCUAAUACGGCAAACGGGUGAAAGCAAGGGAUCUUCGGACCUUGCGCGACUGUUUGAGCUGAUGUCGGAUUAGCUAGUUGGCGGGGUAAAGGCCUACCAAGGCGACGAUCCGUAGCUGGUCUGAGAGGAUGAUCAGCCACACUGGAACUGAGACACGGUCCAGACUCCUACGGGAGGCAGCAGUGGGGAAUAUUGGACAAUGGGCGCAAGCCUGAUCCAGCCAUGCCGCGUGGGUGAUGAAGGCCUUCGGGUUGUAAAGCGCUUUUGUUCGGAAAGAAAAGCAGUAGUUUAAUACCGCGCUGUUCUGACGGUACCCAAAGAAUAAGCACCGGCUAACUUCGUG